UACGUAGGGUGCGAGCGUUGUCCGGAAUUAUUGGGCGUAAAGAGCUUGUAGGCGGUCUGUCGCGUCUGCUGUGAAAAUCCGGGGCUCAACCCCGGACUUGCAGUGGGUACGGGAAGACUAGAGUGUGGUAGGGGAGACUGGAAUUCCUGGUGUAGCGGUGAAAUGCGCAGAUAUCAGGAGGAACACCGAUGGCGAAGGCAGGUCUCUGGGCCGCUACUGACGCUGAGAAGCGAAAGCAUGGGGAGCGAACAGG
rnacentral:rRNA from 1 species